UUAAGCGACUAAGCGUACACGGUGGAUGCCCUGGCAGUCAGAGGCGAUGAAGGACGUGCUAAUCUGCGAUAAGCGUCGGUAAGGUGAUAUGAACCGUUAUAACCGGCGAUUUCCGAAUGGGGAAACCCAGUGUGAUUCGUCACACUAUCAUUAACUGAAUCCAUAGGUUAAUGAGGCGAACCGGGGGAACUGAAACAUCUAAGUACCCCGAGGAAAAGAAAUCAACCGAGAUUCCCCCAGUAGCGGCGAGCGAACGGGGAGCAGCCCAGAGCCUGAAUCAGUGUGUGUGUUAGUGGAAGCGUCUGGAAAGGCGCGCGAUACAGGGUGACAGCCCCGUACACAAAAAUGCACAUGCUGUGAGCUCGAUGAGUAGGGCGGGACACGUGGUAUCCUGUCUGAAUAUGGGGGGACCAUCCUCCAAGGCUAAAUACUCCUGACUGACCGAUAGUGAACCAGUACCGUGAGGGAAAGGCGAAAAGAACCCCGGCGAGGGGAGUGAAAAAGAACCUGAAACCGUGUACGUACAAGCAGUGGGAGCCUCUUUAUGGGGUGACUGCGUACCUUUUGUAUAAUGGGUCAGCGACUUAUAUUCUGUAGCAAGGUUAACCGAAUAGGGGAGCCGAAGGGAAACCGAGUCUUAACUGGGCGUUAAGUUGCAGGGUAUAGACCCGAAACCCGGUGAUCUAGCCAUGGGCAGGUUGAAGGUUGGGUAACACUAACUGGAGGACCGAACCGACUAAUGUUGAAAAAUUAGCGGAUGACUUGUGGCUGGGGGUGAAAGGCCAAUCAAACCGGGAGAUAGCUGGUUCUCCCCGAAAGCUAUUUAGGUAGCGCCUCGUGAAUUCAUCUCCGGGGGUAGAGCACUGUUUCGGCAAGGGGGUCAUCCCGACUUACCAACCCGAUGCAAACUGCGAAUACCGGAGAAUGUUAUCACGGGAGACACACGGCGGGUGCUAACGUCCGUCGUGAAGAGGGAAACAACCCAGACCGCCAGCUAAGGUCCCAAAGUCAUGGUUAAGUGGGAAACGAUGUGGGAAGGCCCAGACAGCCAGGAUGUUGGCUUAGAAGCAGCCAUCAUUUAAAGAAAGCGUAAUAGCUCACUGGUCGAGUCGGCCUGCGCGGAAGAUGUAACGGGGCUAAACCAUGCACCGAAGCUGCGGCAGCGACACUAAGUGUUGUUGGGUAGGGGAGCGUUCUGUAAGCCUGUGAAGGUGUACUGUGAGGUAUGCUGGAGGUAUCAGAAGUGCGAAUGCUGACAUAAGUAACGAUAAAGCGGGUGAAAAGCCCGCUCGCCGGAAGACCAAGGGUUCCUGUCCAACGUUAAUCGGGGCAGGGUGAGUCGACCCCUAAGGCGAGGCCGAAAGGCGUAGUCGAUGGGAAACAGGUUAAUAUUCCUGUACUUGGUGUUACUGCGAAGGGGGGACGGAGAAGGCUAUGUUGGCCGGGCGACGGUUGUCCCGGUUUAAGCGUGUAGGCUGGUUUUCCAGGCAAAUCCGGAAAAUCAAGGCUGAGGCGUGAUGACGAGGCACUACGGUGCUGAAGCAACAAAUGCCCUGCUUCCAGGAAAAGCCUCUAAGCAUCAGGUAACAUCAAAUCGUACCCCAAACCGACACAGGUGGUCAGGUAGAGAAUACCAAGGCGCUUGAGAGAACUCGGGUGAAGGAACUAGGCAAAAUGGUGCCGUAACUUCGGGAGAAGGCACGCUGAUAUGUAGGUGAAGCGACUUGCUCGUGGAGCUGAAAUCAGUCGAAGAUACCAGCUGGCUGCAACUGUUUAUUAAAAACACAGCACUGUGCAAACACGAAAGUGGACGUAUACGGUGUGACGCCUGCCCGGUGCCGGAAGGUUAAUUGAUGGGGUUAGCGCAAGCGAAGCUCUUGAUCGAAGCCCCGGUAAACGGCGGCCGUAACUAUAACGGUCCUAAGGUAGCGAAAUUCCUUGUCGGGUAAGUUCCGACCUGCACGAAUGGCGUAAUGAUGGCCAGGCUGUCUCCACCCGAGACUCAGUGAAAUUGAACUCGCUGUGAAGAUGCAGUGUACCCGCGGCAAGACGGAAAGACCCCGUGAACCUUUACUAUAGCUUGACACUGAACAUUGAGCCUUGAUGUGUAGGAUAGGUGGGAGGCUUUGAAGUGUGGACGCCAGUCUGCAUGGAGCCGACCUUGAAAUACCACCCUUUAAUGUUUGAUGUUCUAACGUUGGCCCCUGAUCGGGGUUGCGGACAGUGUCUGGUGGGUAGUUUGACUGGGGCGGUCUCCUCCUAAAGAGUAACGGAGGAGCACGAAGGUUGGCUAAUCCUGGUCGGACAUCAGGAGGUUAGUGCAAUGGCAUAAGCCAGCUUGACUGCGAGCGUGACGGCGCGAGCAGGUGCGAAAGCAGGUCAUAGUGAUCCGGUGGUUCUGAAUGGAAGGGCCAUCGCUCAACGGAUAAAAGGUACUCCGGGGAUAACAGGCUGAUACCGCCCAAGAGUUCAUAUCGACGGCGGUGUUUGGCACCUCGAUGUCGGCUCAUCACAUCCUGGGGCUGAAGUAGGUCCCAAGGGUAUGGCUGUUCGCCAUUUAAAGUGGUACGCGAGCUGGGUUUAGAACGUCGUGAGACAGUUCGGUCCCUAUCUGCCGUGGGCGCUGGAGAACUGAGGGGGGCUGCUCCUAGUACGAGAGGACCGGAGUGGACGCAUCACUGGUGUUCGGGUUGUCAUGCCAAUGGCACUGCCCGGUAGCUAAAUGCGGAAGAGAUAAGUGCUGAAAGCAUCUAAGCACGAAACUUGCCCCGAGAUGAGUUCUCCCUGACUCCUUGAGAGUCCUGAAGGAACGUUGAAGACGACGACGUUGAUAGGCCGGGUGUGUAAGCGCAGCGAUGCGUUGAGCUAACCGGUACUAAUGAACCGUGAGGCUUAACCUU
rnacentral:rRNA from 1 species